CAGCAGCCACGGGAAUACGGAGGGUGCAAGCGUUAAUCGGAAUUACUGGGCGUAAAGCGCACGCAGGCGGUUUGUUAAGUCAGAUGUGAAAUCCCCGGGCUCAACCUGGGAACUGCAUUUGAAACUGGCAAGCUAGAGUCUCGUAGAGGGGGGUAGAAUUCCAGGUGUAGCGGUGAAAUGCGUAGAGAUCUGGAGGAAUACCGGUGGCGAAGGCGGCCCCCUGGACGAAGACUGACGCUCAGGUGCGAAAGCGUGGGGAGCAAACAGGAUUAGAUACCCCUGUAGUCCCUGUCUCUUAUAC
rnacentral:rRNA from 1 species